GUUGUGAAAGAAACAUUCUAGGAACAAAGAAAAAAGGAAAAGCAUGUCGCAAGUAAGACGGGGUGAAGCAGGAGCGUGCAGCCAAGAAGAACGUGAUGCCAUCAAAGACGACCCUGCAAUUCUCAAUCUGGCAGCUAGUAAAUGUAACCACGACAAGCUAUGCGACAUCGUGACAGAACGGAUGCAGAUCCACGACGAAUUGAAGGACAACCUCGCGUCCCUCUCCGUCGCGGCGGCUAAAGAUACCAAAUGCAAACGCAGUUAAACUCAAACCUCGUCGUCUCAUCGGUACCCAGGAAACGUUCCAUUACGACGUAUGUUUACCGGGUGAUUUGAUAGUUUUAAGUCUCUUGUUGUCCUUUCUGGUAGGUCUAUCUGAGACCUCCAUUUUUCCCUUCGACAUUGUAAUCCACAGCAAUCUUCUGUGCCUUGUACUCAGACCCACGAACGCCGACAUCCAAAACCUAUUGCCAUGUUUCGAUCGUGGGAAUGAUUGAAGAAACGUUACAAUAAUGUAAGAGAGGGACGUGCAACUGCAUGUGUUGUCUCAGACGACUGAUCUUCAUCGUUAGACUAAACCCUAGAUUAGGGAAU